CGGACUACAGGGGUUUCUAAUCCUGUUUGCUCCCCACGCUUUCGCACCUCAGCGUCAGUAUUGGCCCAGGUCGCCGCCUUCGCCACUGGUGUUCCUCCCGAUAUCUACGAAUUUCACCUCUACACCGAGAAUUCCGCGACCCUCUUCCACACUCGAGCACUGUAGUUUCGGAUGCACGUCCUCGGUUGAGCCGAGGGAUUUCACGUCCGACUUACAGCGCCGCCUACGUGCGCUUUACGCCCAAUGAUUCCGAGCAACGUUUGCACCCUUCGUAUUACCGCGGCGGCUGGCACAC
rnacentral:misc_RNA from 1 species